GUACUGGCUUUCGCUGUACUUAUUACUAAAAUUGGUACGAUAACAGAGAUUAGCAUGGCCCUGCGCAAGGUUGACACGCAAAAAUCGUGAAGCGUGUCACCGUAAA